AGAACUCUGUGGCCGAUAUAUAUAUAUAUAUAUCGGCCACAGAGUUCU
rnacentral:pre_miRNA from 1 species